rnacentral:sRNA from 1 species
GCAGGAUGUCCUUCCAGGGCAAGAAAAGCAUCCCCCGGAUCACGAGUGACCGCCUUCUGAUCAGAGGUGGGAGGAUCGUGAAUGACGACCAGUCCUUUUACGCUGAUGUGCACGUGGAAGACGGCUUGAUAAACUGCUCCCUCCUCUAGUCAAAAAAGUACCAACCAGGGACCUGAGUGGAAAACCACAGGGCGUGGCGUCUGCGUGAGGCUGGACCCUGCAGUGACCGUCCUGAGCUGCGCUGAGUGAUGCUUUGCUCCCUGGCACUCCCGAGGAGCUAGUCCAACAAAUCGGAGAAAACCUCAUCGUCCCUGGGGGCAUCAAGACCAUUGACGCCCACGGCCUGAUGGUCCUUCCUGGUGGCGUUGACGUCCACACAAGGCUGCAGAUGCCUGUCCUGGGCAUGACCCCGGCUGAUGACUUCUGUCAGGGCACCAAGGCAGCGCUAGCAGGAGGAACCACCAUGAUCUUGGACCACGUCUUCCCCGACACGGGUGUGAGCCUGCUGGCGGCCUACGAGCAGUGGCGGGAGCGGGCGGACAGCGCGGCCUGCUGCGACUACUCCCUGCACGUGGACAUCACCCGCUGGCACGAGAGCAUCAAGGAGGAGCUGGAGGCCCUGGUCAAGGAGAAGGGCGUGAACUCUUUCCUGGUCUUCAUGGCAUACA